UGGUGAACUGAGUCAUUUGACUUGUUGUAACUGCUCAGAAUCAGUUCAGACUUUUUUUAGUCUCCAAAUUUUCUCCAACAAAAGCAAAUCUUGUCCGACUGUCCAACAGCAGGAGACGAUGGAGGAGCUGCUGUUGUUGCUGACCUCAGUCUGCACAGCUUAUGCUCAGCACCAAGGUCCUCGGUGAAUGUUCCCAAAUCUACGAGUCGUCUAACAGGACGGCUGCGAUGGUUGUGAUUACGAGCCGUGGUCGUAACAAUCACUACGGUGGCUUCACUCUCUACAUGGGUACCGUUUAAACGGGGACUGAAAACACUAUUCACGUGAAAACAUCAGAUAUGUAAAGAGCAGGCCUGAGUACCAGUUGCUGAAAUAGCCCUCAUAGAAAUGCUGUCCAAUCAGAAGCCGACCAACACCUUUGACACGGCACAAAAACGUCCGUUUUCUUCGUCCACAGAAACACAGAACGUCUCCACCAUGGAAAGAGUUUGAAUCGCUGUUUUUUCGGACGCGGCUUCAAGGCCUCCACACAGAAAGCUGCGUUUAGCACACAUUAACAUGUGUGUCACUGAUUAAACGUCAGAUGUCAUUAGUUAAACAUGCCAACGUGCUCUAAGGCUACGAGUUUGUUACAAUGAACAGAUCCGUGCACACCUCCAGAUAUCAGUCCCAGUUCACACACUGUGAGAACUUUAUCAGCUUUAAGAAAACAUGCUGUGUGACUGCCUACAUGUAUCUUACAGCCAGAGUGCUAUUCAAACCCAUGCUAAAUGGCACAACUUGGUUUAUAAUUAGACAAAGGCACUGGUUAGACUUGAGUGUGAUCAGACCUCCAGUUUGAAAAAGGUGUUGGGCUGGAGACUCCAGCUCAUACAGCCAACAUGUUGUUUGUGUCACUCACCGCGGUAUCCUCUGUGUGACAGUACAGUGGCCAUCAGAUCUCUGAAAUAUGGACAACUGUUUUCUCUGAUUUAUAAUUGAUGAAUGCAGAGUGUGGAGAAGCUGUGUUUGCGUGCAGCAGGAGCGUCUGUGAUGAAGUUCACUCAGGGAGACGUUUCCAUGGACGGGACAGAGCACAUUUUGCUUGCUGAUGGUUUAAAAAUGGUAAAUGGUCUGUAUUUGUAUAGCGCUUUACUUGGUCCUAAGGACCCCAAAGCGCUUUACACAUCCAGUCAUCCACCCAUUCACACACUGGUGAUGGCAGCUACAUUGUAGCCACAGCCACCCUGGGGCACUGACAGAGGCGAGGCUGCCGGACACUGGCGCCACCGGGCCCUCUGACCACCACCAGCAGACAACGGCUGUAUUGUCCAAGGACACAACGACCGAGACUGUCGGAGCCGGGGCUCAAACCGGCAACCUUCCGAUUACAAGGCGAACGCCCAACUCUUGAGCCACGAUCGCCCACGAUCGUUUAACAUACAUGCCAGGUGUACUUUUGAUGAAAGUCAAGCUGAGCAGAUGAGGAGGCACAAAGUGAAACAGAGACACAUACAGUCCACAUGAAAGACUCGCUGCUAUUCGCUCACUUUGUGAAACACAUGUGGCUGCUUUAAAGCUUGAUGGCCCGAACCUGCAUCCCAAACAUGAACCCUGCCUGCAGGCUGGACUAGUGUCCUGUCAUUAAAUCCACCAGCCUGGAGGUGUGGAGAUGCUAACAAGAUGUUUUGGAAAGUAAUUGUUAUCACCCUUUAAAUAUGAAUGAAAGUGGAAAUUACCACAAAUAAAUUUGCACUGUUGAAGAGCUUUGGGUAAACAAACUGUUUCUUAUUCAAAUGGCAUUAAAGUUCUCAGGGGUCUCAGGCCACUCUGUACAUUUAAA
ensembl:lncRNA